GACGAACGCUGGCGGCGUGCUUAACACAUGCAAGUCGAACGGAAAGGCCCUGCUUUUGUGGGGUGCUCGAGUGGCGAACGGGUGAGUAACACGUGAGUAACCUGCCCUUGACUUUGGGAUAACUUCAGGAAACUGGGGCUAAUACCGGAUAGGAGCUCCUGCUGCAUGGUGGGGGUUGGAAAGUUUCGGCGGUUGGGGAUGGACUCGCGGCUUAUCAGCUUGUUGGUGGGGUAGUGGCUUACAAAGGCUUUGACGGGUAGCCGGCCUGUGAGGGUGACCGGCCACAUUGGGACUGAGAUACGGCCCAGACUCCUACGGGAGGCAGCAGUGGGAAAUAUUGCACAAUGGGCGGAAGCCUGAUGCAGCAGCGCCGCGUGCGGGAUAACGGCCUUCGGGUUGUAAACCGCUUUCGCCUGUGACGAAGCGUGAGUGACGGUAAUGGGUAAAGAAGCACCGGCUAACUACGUG
rnacentral:rRNA from 1 species